CAGUGAAUAGUUUAAAAAACAUUAAUUUUGGAGAUUAAAGAUGAGAUCUAUUCUCUUUACUGA
rnacentral:tRNA from 1 species